GCGGCGCCUCGCCCUGGGGCGGGUGUCCGGCGCUCUGGAGAGAUCGCUGUGCGAGCGAGGCUAGCGGACUCGGCUUCGGGCCGAGAACCUUGAAGAAUUUUGCAGAACCCUGCUACCUAUGGACUCUGAAAUGGGCUUCAUGUAAAGAAACCCCCGACGCAUUCACGGACAAAACAUGAGUGAGUUUGUGUUGUGGCAGUCACAUCCUAACACUUCGGGAGAGGAACUCACAGUUGAGAGGUUGCCUCAAAUCUCGAGUAAGACUUCGGACUUUGAACAGUGUUGGAAUUGUUAAACACUAUGGGGACCUUUGAAGUUGUAUUGAACAUAUUUCUGCAUUCUAAGAUGGCAAUGAGGGCUGGCAGGAAAACUCAGAAAGUAUUGCUUUACCUUUUGACCAGUUUGAUCUCCAAGACCAACUUGUAGAAGGAGAGAAUCAACUCUUGGAACUUGUCUUCUGACCUUUAUGUGUGUGUUAUGGGGCAUGCAUACACCACACACACACACACACACACACACACACACACACAGUAAAUAAAAAAUUUUAGCAGAUGGCCAUGAAAUUCUGGAAAGAAGGUUUGAAAGGCCUAUGACUUCAGAUUGGUAUGUUUGGGUAUCAGGGGGACAAAGGAUGGAGUUGUGGUUUGUGUUGGUAGUCAACUUGGUAGGAUCUAGAAUCUCCUAGGACACAAGCCACUUAUUAUUAUCUUGUUUAAGUUACUAGAGGUAGGGGGAGCCACCCUAAAAGUGUCCAGCAUCAUCAUGGGCUUUCAUCCGGGACUUCAUGGAGAGAAGAAAGUGGGCAGAGUGCCAGCAUUCACUGCCUGCUCCUCCCGACUUUGGACGCAGUGUGACCAGCUGCUCGAGCUCCUGAAGCCUUGACCUCUUGGCACAGCGGGCCGCACUCUCGAACUGUGAGCUACUGUGCAGCCUUCCUUCCUUAGGUCCCUGAUGGGUGCUCAUCACAGCAACAGAACAGGUGACCAGGACCCUGGUCCAGGCAUCUCUUCUAGAAAUGCCAGAGCUCUUCCGCUCUUCUGAAGCAUUAGGACCUCUGUGUUUGAGAUUCCUUACAUGUGAGGUGCUCUUAUCUUAGAUACCUGUGUGCAUUGACCAUUCAUUUCUUCAUGGCCUUCGGGUCUUUCAGUGUGCCUUCUCUAACCAUCUUUGUUUGUUUGUUUGGUUUUUCAAGACAGGGUUUCUCUGUAGCCUUGGAGCCUGUCCUGGAACUAGCUCUUGUAGACCAGGCUGGCCUCGAACUCACAGAGAUCCACCUGCCUCUGCCUGCCAAAUGCUGGGAUUAAAGGCGUGUGCCACCGCCUCCUGGCUCCAACUCUAACCAUUUUAUUUUAAUAGCACAGCAUUUGUAUUCCUUCUUUGCUCUGUUAUCCAUGCAUCCAUCUCAGAUUGACAUCCUCUUCACUAGUGUUUCCCCAGGACUGUGAACAGUGACACAAGGAGACCCUCAGAAUAUGUCUGUUAGGUGGGUGCAUUUAGCCUGUACUAGCAGGUAUGUGUGUAAGACAGUGCGGUCUGGGGCACGAACUGAGGUUCUUUUAUUUAAAAAUUGCUUUGAAGAAUGGGUUUAAUUUAUAUUCUGCUUUGUCCUAAAAGACAGUUGAAAUAGCUGUAGUCCAGCAUUGAGAAGAAGACAUAUGCAGAGACCAAAACAGAGAAUGUAAUAGAACUUCAAACCGGGUAAUGUUAAUACGCAGAAGGUCCUCACAGUGGCAAAAGGCAGGUUGUGCAUUUGAGUCAUUGAAAGUUAUUUUGCUCAGAUAUGGCUGUACUAGAAUCAUGAACUUCAUUCUGCAGGACAGGUCACAGGUACUUGAGUCCAGAACCCUGAAAAACUAUUUACCUAGGAGGACACUUGAAAUUUCUCUCCUAGAAAUAGCUUCCUGUGUUAAAUCCCUGCAGGUCUCUUCAUUGUCAUAGCUUGCUGCACCUGAGAGCUGGCUGUCACCGGAACCAGCAGCUUCUGAUAUCAUGUCUAAACAUUUGUGGAGUUGAUGCAGACUUGGUGACUGGAUAUAUUUGAAAGUCCUUUGUCAAAGAUUUUAACCAGUACACGAAUUGCCAGCUCUUCCUGCUCCAGCCAUGAGGAGGGCGAGAGUCCAGAAGUUGUGCCUGCCUGCCUUUUGAGGAGGACAGUCGGCACCUUGUGUGUAGGUUCUUCCACAUUAGUAACUGCGCUGGGGAGGAGGGCGGGAGUAAGGAGGCCAGUUAGGUUUCACUAAUGCAGUAAUCGAAUUCUGUGCUAUUUUGUGUGUGCAUGUGGAUUCCAUGAGACAUUGCACUUAGAGCACACAUCUUCUUGUUCAUGGUAAGUACAUUUCCUUUGUCCUUUUUACCAGUGAGUGUGAGAAUUGUGAGAGCCGCAGGCCAGAGACAGGGAGGGACAGAGAUGGACUACAGACCACAUUCCCUGAGCAGAACUGAUAGUUGGAGACAAAAGAUGAUUCCAUUUAGCCGUGUAGUAAUUAAUAGUACAGUGUGUUGUGAUGUUUUCUUUUUCACCUUGCACUUUCAUUUCUUUGAUGUGGAUAUAAAACUUUUGAAGUCAGGUUGUCUAUACUGCAUCACUUUUCAGAAUUGAAAGAGGAGAACUGUGGUGGUUUGAACAAAAACGGCCCCCAAAGGGAGUGUCACUAUUAAGAGGUGUGGCUUUGUUGGAGUAGGUGUGGUCUUGUUGGAGAAAGUGUAUCACUGUGGAGGUGGGCUUUAAGAUCUCACGCGUGCUCAAGCCACACCUAGUGAGAUAGACCACUCCUGUUACCUGUAUGCAAGAUGCAGAACUUAGCACCCUGUCUACCUACACACCACCAUGUCCCACUGUGAAAAUGGACUGAAGCCCUCUGAACUGUAAACCAGCCCAAUUAAAUGUUUUCCUUUAUAAGA